rnacentral:lncRNA from 1 species
AUUCUGCCCUUGCAUCAUACCAUCGUCUCUCUCUACCAACCAACCAACCUCUCACAAACCCCAUCUCUUUUUCAUCAAUUGUGAUUUCAAUUGACUGAUUUCGUUUCAUUGUCAAUUAGUAACAAACAACAAUUGGGAUGGAGGUCAUCUUAUUCACUUACCCGUUUUUGUUUAAACAGCCCCAAAGUCCUCAUUCUUCUCGCAUCAGUCAUUCAGCGUUCUCUAAACCUAACCCUCACCAUCGCCGGAAGAUACCAACGAUUUGAUCCGUAAUACAGUGGAAGGUGACACACAAAGAAACCCUGUGCCCGAUUGUCGAGUGGAGUGGAGCUUUUGUACAACUAGGGGCCGGUAUAUUCAACCCGGUAGAAUUGCGGGACCCGUGGAGAAGAAACUUUACUUGUUCAUUGAAGAAGGUACUGAACAAUCUGUUAAACGGGCUAAAGCGGAAUUGAAACGUGUUCUAGAAGGCAUCACAUCACAGGCAUCUCUUCCAAAUUCAAAAUCGGGAGGAUAUAUGUGUUGACUGUUGAGCAAUUGUCUUUGACAUAUACGAUUGCUUUUAGUGGCUGCUAGAAGAUGGUGAUCAAAAACCUUCAUUCCCACUAAGAAAAUGUUGGUCGGCUAGGCCUUUGGUGCCUUUUCGACAGUGUUCUGAAGUUACGACCGCUAUGUGUGAUGUUAGACUGUAGGGGUUUGAAAAACUUGAAGAAAUAGUUGGCAAGUGGGAGGGGGUACCAAAAUCAUCAUCGCGAUACUAGCGAUACUACUUGAAGCUUUUUACCAACAAAGAAACAUAUGAAGCUGUAGACGCACUUGCAAGGGUGGAGAAUAAGAUUGCUCAUCAACUCGCAAUCGAGAUCAUUCGUAAUUAUUUUAACUGUUUUGAAUAUUAAGUUACAUGUGUUUUUUUUUUCUACCGUUCAAUCCGUGUGACACACAGGUAAUAACCUAGUAUAUAUAUAUAUAUAUAUAUAUAUAUGGUUACUAAAGAAAACUU